rnacentral:rRNA from 1 species
AACACCACUGGAGGUCCGAACCACUAGUGUUGAAAAACUAGGGGAUGAGCUGUGGGUAGGGGUGAAAGGCUAAACAAUCUGGAGAUAGCUGGUUCUCCCCGAAAACUAUUUAGGUAGUGCCUCAUAUGGACACUUCCGGGGGUAGAGCACUGUAAUGGUUGAGGGGGUCGUUUAGAUCUACCUCGCCAUAGCAAACUCCGAAUACCGGAAAGUGAUGUAUGGGAGACAGACGGUGGGUGCUAACGUCCAUCGUCAAGAGGGAAACAACCCAGACCGCCAGCUAAGGUCCCCAAUGAUUGGCUAAGUGGAAAACGAGGUGGGAAGGCAUAGACAGUCAGGAGGUUGGCUUAGAAGCAGCCAUCCUUUAAAGAAAGCGUAAUAGCUCACUGAUCGAGUCGUCCUGCGCGGAAGAUGUAACGGGGCUCAAGCCAAUAACCGAAGCUGCGGAUAUCCGUAAGGAUAUGGUAGGGGAGCGUUCCGUAGGCCGUUGAAGGUGUGUCGAAAGGCAUGCUGGAGGUAUCGGAAGUGCGAAUGCUGAC